AUUCCAGCUCCAAUAGCGUAUAUUAAAGUUGUUGCAGUUAAAAAGCUCGUAGUCUGACCGUUGUCCUGGCAUUGAGCGUCCGUGGUUACUGAUCAUGUGUACGCGAGGUGCUGGACACUACCUUCGGAGGAGCGUUCGUGCUUUUAACUAAGUGCGUGCGGGAUUCCGAUAGUUUACUUUGAGAAAAAUAGAGUGUUCAAAGCAGGCGUUUGCCUUGAAUACAUUAGCAUGGGAUAAUGAAAUAGGACGUUGGUUCUAUUUUGAUGGUUUACGGACCGACGUAAUGAUUAAUAGGGACAGUUGGGGACAUUUAUAUUCCAUGGCUAGAGGUGAAAUUCUUGGAUUCAUGGAAGAUAAACUACUGCGAAAGCAUUUGUCAAAGAUGUUUUCAUUA
rnacentral:rRNA from 1 species